rnacentral:miRNA from 12 species
CCAUCAGCCUGGUUACUAGGCAGUGUAGUUAGCUGAUUGCCAGAGCACCAAUCACUAACCACACAGCCAGGUAAAAAGGC